rnacentral:rRNA from 2 species
CAGACGGGUGAGUAACGCGUGGGAACGUACCAUUUGCUACGGAAUAACUCAGGGAAACUUGUGCUAAUACCGUAUGAGCCCGAAAGGGGAAAGAUUUAUCGGCAAAUGAUCGGCCCGCGUUGGAUUAGCUAGUUGGUGGGGUAAAGGCCUACCAAGGCGACGAUCCAUAGCUGGUCUGAGAGGAUGAUCAGCCACACUGGGACUGAGACACGGCCCAGACUCCUACGGGAGGCAGCAGUGGGGAAUAUUGGACAAUGGGCGCAAGCCUGAUCCAGCCAUGCCGCGUGAGUGAUGAAGGCCCUAGGGUUGUAAAGCUCUUUCACCGGUGAAGAUAAUGACGGUAACCGGAGAAGAAGCCCCGGCUAACUUCGUGCCAGCAGCCGCGGUAAUACGAAGGGGGCUAGCGUUGUUCGGAUUUACUGGGCGUAAAGCGCACGUAGGCGGGCUAAUAAGUCAGGGGUGAAAUCCCGGGGCUCAACCCCGGAACUGCCUUUGAUACUGUUAGUCUUGAGUAUGGUAGAGGUGAGUGGAAUUCCGAGUG